CCNAGUAACGGCGAGUGAAGCGGGAAGAGCUCAAAUUUGUGAUCUGGCCGUUUUGCGGUCCGAGUUGUAACCUAAAGAAACGUGUUCUGUGCCCAGCGUCGCAUGAUUCUGUUGGAAUAUAGCGUCAAAGAGGGUGAGAACCCCGUUUAUGGUGACUGUCUGGUGUGCUCUGUGAUACGUUUUCUAAGAGUCGAGUUGUUUGGGAAUGCAGCUCUAAUUGGGUGGUAAAUUCCAUCUAAAGCUAAAUAUUGACGAGAGACCGAUAGCGAACAAGUACCGUGAGGGAAAGAUGAAAAGCACUUUGGAAAGAGAGUUAACAGUACGUGAAAUUGUUAUAAGGGAGACGCUUGAAGUCAGACAUGCUCCGUGCCUCCAGCCGCAAGGUGUAUCGGUACGGAUCAGGCUAGAGUCUGUUCUUGGGGUCGGAUAAGGGUCUUUGGAAUGUGGCUGGUCCGCCAGUGUUAUAGCCUUUGACUUGAUACGGCUUUGGGGACAGAGGACUGCAGCGCGCCUUUUGGCAUUGGCUUCGGCCUUUUCCGCGCUAAGGAUUCUGG
rnacentral:rRNA from 1 species